UCUAAGGGACCGCCAGCGGAAAGCUGGAGGAAGGUGGGGAUGACGUCAAAUCCUCAUGGCCUUUAUGUCCAGGGCUACACACAUGCGACAAUGGUCGAGACAACGCGUUGCAAACCAGUAAUGGUAAGCUAAUCGCAUAAAAUCGACCUCAGUACGGAUUGAGGGUUGCAAUUCACCCUCAUGAAGCUGGAGUUGCUAGUAACCGCAGGUCAGCUAUACUGCGAUGAAUACGUUCCCGGGGCUU
rnacentral:rRNA from 1 species